rnacentral:tRNA from 1 species
GGGCGGAUGUAGCCAAGUGGAUUAUGGCGGUGGAUUGUUAGUCCACCAUGCGCGA